AAGGAGGGAUUGGGAAGGGCUACUUGGGAAAAUGUGGAGGUAUCAGAAAGGGGCCUCCAAUGGUGAGAUGGAGGGGGCGGAGGCUGGUAUGAAUGGAAUGCAUAUGGUAAAUGGAGGUGAGGAGAAUGGAUGUGAGGUAAGAGUGAAUGUGGAGGAGGUUAAGGGAGAAGGAGAGAAAAGUAGAGGGAAUGCUUUGGGAUCUAUUGUGUCACAAGGAGGCAGAUCAUGGCUGGAAACCAUUCAGGAAGAAGGAUGUGAGGAAGAAGAAGAAACUGAGGUGGCGUUUCAGGAGGCACAAGACGCUGAAGUUGCCCAGUUGGACAGAUGGUGUCCAUGUGGCUGGUGUAAGGUGGGGUAGGAGGCUUCUGAACCAUGUGUUAGGCCUAGUGCACUUAUGGAUUGUGCUUGUUUGUUAUAAUGAAAUAAGCUUAUAAACUAAACAUAAUAUAUUUUAAAGGUACGUGUUUAUAUCAGUAUCUACAUGUAAAGGGAGCAGACACAGGAAAAAGGUAUUGAAGACCCUUGAUAUGAUAUUGCUGUUUUUGUUUUAGAUUCCAAAGUUAACCCUUUAUUUAAUUUAUCCCUUUUCCCCAAGUAGAAUAAUGCAUGUACUUGUAAUCUGUAUUAUUUUGCUUUGGAGUCGGAAGUUCCAAAAUCACCAGGCAAGUUAUUUGAUUGUAUGUGUUUUAACUACUAGAAAGAUGUAAAUGAUAAGCCUUAAGAUUUAUUUAAAAUUAAUUUAUUGUUUUUUUGUAAAUUAAAAACAGGAACCCUCAUGGACCAAGACUUGAGGGCAUUUGUACAAUCCACCUGUACAACUUUAACUGGUUCUGCAGUCUUUUUCUCCCCACAGCCUCUGCUUGUUCCCUUCUUCUCUUUCUGUCUUCCCUCCAGGAGAGCUCCUCAGGCAUCUCCUGCCUGUAAUUCCUGGGAAAUGCCACCUGCCACCCAUCCUUGGAAGCGUCGCCCAUUCUCAGGAUCUCAUGCGUCACCAUUCAUCACAGUCACAGCGCUUGCAGACAUCUGGUAUGGAUUAAGGCAUCACCAGCCUGGCAUCAGACUCUCCAGACAAUGCCAGCCCAGAGGGGGCUGACCUGGAGGACAUUCCCCCGGAGGACAUGGAGUGGGAGCCUCCAGGUCUUGCCCUGAGUCCGACUCCGUGGUGUCAGCCCCGUGGCCAAAGUUUCCCCAGCCGAGGAGGCUAUCGCCGCGACAACGGCAGGGUCAACGGAAAUCCAGUCGUGAGCUGAGGUCCAGGAGGAAAAAACGAGGUUAUGCUACCCAGACCUGCCUCCUGAUCCAGGCUUGGUCCAAGAUGGUCUUUCAGGGGUCCCUGGUUUGGUCCAGUUCCUGUCCUGCCUGCCCCUCGACACCCUCUCUCUGCCAACCCCUCGCCGUCUACCGAU